rnacentral:rRNA from 1 species
AUUGAACGCUGGCGGCAUGCCUUACACAUGCAAGUCGAACGGCAGCGGGGGAGAAGCUUGCUUUUCCUGCCGGCGGGUGGCGAUCGGGUGAGUAAUACAUCGGAACAUGCCCUGUAGUGGGGGAUAACUAGUCGAAAGAUUAGCUAAUACCGCAUACGACCUGAGGGUGAAAGUGGGGGACCGCAAGGCCUCAUGCUAUAGGAGCGGCCGAUGUCUGAUUAGCUAGUUGGUGGGGUAAAGGCCUACCAAGGCGACGAUCAGUAGCUGGUCUGAGAGGACGAUCAGCCACACUGGGACUGGGACACGGCCCAGACUCCUACGGGAGGCAGCAGUGGGGAAUUUUGGACAAUGGGCGAAAGCCUGAUCCAGCAAUGCCGCGUGUGUGAAGAAGGCCUUCGGGUUGUAAAGCACUUUUGUCCGGAAAGAAAUGGCUCUGGUUAAUACCUGGGGUCGAUGACGGUACCGGAAGAAUAAGGACCGGCUAACUACGUGCCAGCCGCCGCCGUAA